GCUUUCUCUGCUUCCAUGUCAGUGUGGGCCACUUCCUCAGGUGUUAAGGGGACAGCCUUGCACUUUGGACCCUUCAGCCUGACCUCUCUGCAACUGCAUUCUGCCCUCCUUUCUAGGCAGAUGGGACCUGAAGUUUUUGACAGCCACUUUGCCCACAAUGGUGUCGUGAGAGGCUUUCCUCUCUUCCUCCUCCUACAUUUGUGUGUUUGUUGGAAAUUUUUGGGUGUCCUUUCUUUGUCAAGCCUUUCUUUUCCUUCUGGGGGAAAGUAGAGGCAGUAUUUCCUCUGGCUGGAUUAUGAACAAGAGGGAAAUAAAGCUGGAUUUCUACCUCCA